AGAAUUUGAUCCUGGUUCAGAAUGAACGUUGGCGGCGUGGAUGAGGCAUGCAAGUCGAACGGGGCCCGCAAGGGUACCCGUGGCGGAAGGGUGAGUAAUAUAUGGCUAACCUGCCCCUGAGUGGAGGACAACACCUGGAAACGGGUGCUAAUACUGCAUAAGACCACAGAUCGGCAUCGAUCCGAGGUCAAAGCCCUGUAGGGCGCUCAAGGAGGGGGUCAUAUCGUAUCAGCUAGUUGGUGAGGUAACGGCUCACCAAGGCGAUGACGCGUAGCCGGUCUGAGAGGAUGGUCGGCCACACUGGGACUGAGACACUGCCCAGACUCCUACGGGAGGCUGCAGUCGAGAAUCAUUGUCAAUGGGCGAAAGCCUGAACGUGCGACGCCGCGUGUGGGAUGAAGGCCCUUGGGUUGUAAACCACUGUCAGGGGGAAGGAAUAAGGCUGGCGACACCAGCUGAUGACUUAUACCCCAGAGGAAGUGACGGCUAACUACGUGCCAGCAGCUGCGGUAAUACGUAGGUCACGAACGUUAUUCGGAAUCACUGGGCUUAAAGGGCGCGUAGGCGGCUUAAUAAGUUACGACUGAAAUCCGGCGGCUCACCCGUCGAACUGGCCGUAAUACUGUUGAGCUUGAGGUGCGGAGGGAUGCGUGGAACUUGUGGUGGAGCGGUGAAAUGCCCAGAUAUCACAGGGAACACCGGUGGCGAAGGCGACGCAUUGGCCGCAAUCUGACGCUGAGGCGCGAAAGCAUGGGGAGCGAACGGGAUUAGAUACCCCGGUAGUCCAUGCCGUAAACGAUGUGCACUAGGGAGAGGGCGGGUCCUAACUCGCUCCCUCCCCAAGCAAAAGCGUUAAGUGCACCGCCUGGGGAGUAUGCUCGCAAGGGUAAAACUCAAAGGAAUUGACGGGGGCC
rnacentral:rRNA from 1 species